rnacentral:lncRNA from 1 species
AUGCACAGCUGUGUCGAGGAGGUGAAAUUGGUGUGUUGACUGUUGUUCCACUCUGGUGUGGGGCCCGAGGCUGCUAUCGUUGGGGGAGCGUUGCAGGCUUUCAGUGGGGUCUUCGGCCGACCAUGCAGGACGGGCGUCGUCCGCAUGGCGGGGGUGUGGUUUGAGAUGGGGGAGAGGCUGAUGCAGGGCGUUGGACUCCUUAUAGCGGGCCACUGGCUCGGCCAUGGGGCCCGCGGUGGGACCUCCUAUGGGGACGCCUUUCUUCUGAAUAUAAUGCUGGCCUCUAGAGGUGGGGUGGGAUGUGUGGGUGAUGGUGUGGCGGGUGUCCCUUGUAAGGGUGGCGCGGGUCGUGGCGUCCGGGAGAUGUUGGAGGGUGGAUCUAUGCAGAGCGAUGUUCGCUGGGACAUGCUCGGUC